GCCGGGCGUGGUGGUGCAUGCCUGUAAUCCCAGCUACUUGGGAGGCUGAGGAAGGAGAAUCACUUGAACCCAGGAGGCGGAGGUUGCAGUGAGCCGAGAUUGUGCCACUGCACUCCCGCCUGGGUGACAGGGUGAGAUUCCAUCUCAA
rnacentral:SRP_RNA from 1 species